AGUCCGUACGCGAAGCAGCAGUUAGAAUUCCGCAAUGAGUGAAGUCGACGUAGCAAGCUCCGCCUUGGAUGGAUGAGUUUCGGUCGUACACGUCGUGGUAGGGAAGAACAUGCUAGCUGAAUUAAUGCUGGCCACCGUAGGACGGAAGCUAUCAUGAAAGGCAUCGGCGAGCUAUGUCACAGGCAUGGCUGGCGGGUACUUCGUAGGGUUGGUCAAGAGUUAUCGGAAUUUUUCGGGCGGUUAAUGCGGGCCGCACGGUCGAUUUCUUAAGUGUUAUUGGGAAUGCCCCCGUCUCACCCGGGGAGGGGUCCUUUGAAACUUGGGAGACUGGAGUGCAGAAGGAGGAAAGCUGAAUUCCCAUGGGUAGCGUUGAAAUGCGGUAGAGAUUUGGAGGAACACCAGUGGCGAAGGCGACUUUCUGGUUUGUAACUGACACUGAGGCGCGAAAGCGUGGGGAGCAAACAGGAUUAGAUUUCCUGGUAGUCCACGCCGUAAUCGAUGAGUGCUAAGUGUUAGAGGGUUUCCGCCCUUUAGUCCUGAAGUUAACGCAUUAAGCACUCCGCCUGGGGAGUACGGCCGCAAGGCUGAAACUCAAAGGAAUUGACGGGGGCCCGCACAAGCGGUGGAGCAUGUGGUUUAAUUCGAAGCAACGCGAAGAACCUUACCAGGUCUUGACAUCCUCUGAAAACUCUAGAGAUAGAGCUUCUCCUUCGGGAGCAGAGUGACAGGUGGUGCAUGGUUGUCGUCAGCUCGUGUCGUGAGAUGUUGGGUUAAGUCCCGCAACGAGCGCAACCCUUGAUCUUAGUUGCCAUCAUUAAGUUGGGCACUCUAAGGUGACUGCCGGUGACAAACCGGAGGAAGGUGGGGAUGACGUCAAAUCAUCAUGCCCCUUAUGACCUGGGCUACACACGUGCUACAAUGGACGGUACAAAGAGCUGCAAGACCGCGAGGUGGAGCUAAUCUCAUAAAACCGUUCUCAGUUCGGAUUGUAGGCUGCAACUCGCCUACAUGAAGCUGGAAUCGCUAGUAAUCGCGGAUCAGCAUGCCGCGGUGAAUACGUUCCCGGGCCUUGUACACACCGCCCGUCACACCACGAGAGUUUGUAACACCCGAAGUCGGUGGGGUAACCUUUAUGGAGCCAGCCGCCUAAGUGACAAGUCG
rnacentral:rRNA from 1 species